rnacentral:rRNA from 1 species
UACGUAGGUGGCAAGCGUUGUCCGGAUUUACUGGGCGUAAAGAGCGCGCAGGCGGUCGUUCAAGUCGAGUGUGAAAGCCCCCGGCUCAACUGGGGAGGGUCACUCGAUACUGUUCGACUCGAAGGCAGAAGAGGGAAGCGGAAUUCCCGGUGUAGUGGUGAAAUGCGUAGAUAUCGGGAGGAACACCAGUGGCGAAGGCGGCUCACUGGUCCGGUACUGACGCUGAGGUGCGAAAGCGUGGGGAGCAAACAGG